rnacentral:rRNA from 1 species
CCGCGUGAGCGAAGAAGGCCUUCGGGUUGUAAAGCUCAGUCACCCGGGAAGAGAGACCAUGGGAGGGAAUGCCCUUGGAGAGACGGUACCGGGAGAGGAAGCCCCGGCUAACUACGUGCCAGCAGCCGCGGUAAUACGUAGGGGGCAAGCGUUGUCCGGAAUCACUGGGCGUAAAGCGUGCGUAGGCGGUUUGUUAAGUCUGAAGUGAAAGGCCAUGGCUCAACCAUGGGAAUGCUUUGGAAACUGGCAGACUUGAGUACUGGAGAGGCAAGGGGAAUUCCACGUGUAGCGGUGAAAUGCGUAGAGAUGUGGAGGAAUACCAGUGGCGAAGGCGCCUUGCUGGACAGUGACUGACGCUGAGGCACGAAAGCGUGGGGAGCAAACAGGAUUAGAUACCCUG